GCUUCCGUGGUCCAAUGGUUAGGAUUCCACCCUUCCAGUAACAUGAUUCCAUGUUAUACAGCAAGGUGGAGGUUCGUGUUCGAUUCACGGCGGUUGCA